UCAGUUGUUUUUUUAUUUUCUCUUUUCUCCCAUCACUUUCUCCCUUCUUCCCCUCUCCUAAUUUCCAUUCCCAACUAUUAUUCUCGGAUCAGAUCGAGCCAUU
ensembl:ncRNA Y62F5A.16 ncRNA